rnacentral:rRNA from 1 species
GGGUAGCUAUGUGUGGACGGGAUAAGUGCUGAAAGCAUCUAAGCAUGAAGCCCCCCUCAAGAUGAGAUUUCCCAACUUCGGUUAUAAGAUCCCUCAAAGAUGAUGAGGUUAAUAGGUUCGAGGUGGAAGCAUGGUGACAUGUGGAGCUGACGAAUACUAAUCGAUCGAAGACUUAAUCAA